rnacentral:rRNA from 1 species
GCUUGUCUCAAAGAUUAAGCCAUGCAUGUCUAAGUAUAAGCAAUUAUACAGCGAAACUGCGAAUGGCUCAUCUAUAUAAGUUAUCGUUUAUUUGAUAGUACCUUACUACUUGGAUAACCGUGGUAAUUCUAGAGCUAAUACAUGCUAAAAAUCCCGACUCCGGAAGGGAUGUAUUUAUUAGAUUAAAAACCAAUGCCCUUCGGGGCUCACUGGUGAUUCAUAAUAACUUCUCGAAUCGCACGGCCUUGCGCCGGCGAUGGUUCAUUCAAAUUUCUUCCCUAUCAACUUUCGAUGUUUGGGUAGUGGCCAAACAUGGUAGGCAACGGGUAACAGGAGGGUUAGGGCUCGACCCCGGAGAAGGAGCCUGAGAAACGGCUACUACAUCCAAGGAAGGCAGCAGGCGCGCAAAUUACCCAAUCCCGACACGGGGAGGUAGUGACAAUAAAUACUGAUACAGGGCUCUUUUGGGUCUUGUAAUCGGAAUGAGUACAAUUUAAAUCCCUUAACGAGGAACAAUUGGAGGGCAAGUCUGGUGCCAGCAGCCGCGGUAAUUCCAGCUCCAAUAGCGUAUAUUAAAGUUGUUGUCGGUUAAAAAGCUCGUAGUUGAACCUUGGCCCUGGCUGGCCGGUCCGCCUCACCGCGUGCACUGGUCCGGCCGGGGCUUUCCCUCUGUGGAACCCCAUGCCCUUCACUGGGUGUGGCGGGGAAACAGGACUUUUACUUUGAAAAAAUUAGAGUGCUCCAGGCAGGCCUAUGCUCGAAUACAUUAGCAUGGAAUAAUAGAAUAGGACGCGCGGUUCUAUUUUGUUGGUUUCUAGGACCGCCGUAAUGAUUAAUAGGGACAGUCGGGGGCAUCAGUAUUCAAUUGUCAGAGGUGAAAUUCUUGGAUUUAUUGAAGACUAACUACUGCGAAAGCAUUUGCCAAGGAUGUUUUCAUUAAUCAGGAACGAAAGUUAGGGGAUCGAAGACGAUCAGAUACCGUCGUAGUCUUAACCAUAAACUAUGCCGACUAGGGAUCGGGCGAUGUUAUUUUUUGACUCGCUCGGCACCUCACGAGAAAUCAAAGUGCUUGGGCU